rnacentral:rRNA from 1 species
AUUGAACGCUGGCGGCAGGCCUAACACAUGCAAGUCGAGCGGGAACUUCGGUUCUAGCGGCGGACGGGUGAGUAAUGCGUAGGAAGCUACCCGACAGAGGGGGAUACCAGUUGGAAACGACUGUUAAUACCGCAUAAUGUCUACGGACCAAAGUGUGGGACCUUCGGGCCACAUGCUGUCGGAUGCGCCUACGUGGGAUUAGCUAGUUGGUGAGGUAAUGGCUCGCCAAGGCGACGAUCCCUAGCUGGUUUGAGAGGAUGAUCAGCCACACUGGAACUGAGACACGGGCCAGACUCCUACGGGAGGCAGCAGUGGGGAAAGUUGGACAAUGGGCGAAAGCCUGAUCCAGCCAUGCCGCGUGUGUGAAGAAGGCCUUCGGGUUGUAAAGCACUUUCAGUAGGGAGGAAGAGUUGAGUGUUAAUAGUACUCAGCUUUGACGUUACCUACAGAAGAAGCACCGGCUAACUCUGUGCCAGCCGCCGCGGUAAGAC